CCAGGAUGUCCUGCUUGUGACGUUCUUCGACGACGAGGCCGAUGAAGAUCCCGUCGUAAGGCGUUCCUCGAAGGCUGUGGGAGCCUCUGGUGGUCAGCAACUCAGCCCAGGAUUCGGGUGGGAUCAGCCUGGUCUUGGAUUGGUUUUCUGGCAGAUGGCAUGAACAGCAGGGGCCCAGAGGGUGGCAGUAGUGUCUGGUGUGUAUCAGAUGAAAGCAACUCCAAAAGAAUCUUUCCCUGACAUGAAUUAUUUAUCUAUUAAUUUAAGAUACACGUCCACUUCCUCUUAUUUUAAAGAACUGUUCCUCAGCUGACCUUCUGACCUUCGAAAGCUCAUUAGCUGUGGCUCGGAUGUGACCUACUUGUCGACGAUGUAUUUGAUGUUGUCAUGCACGCUGAGGUCUGUCCGCUCUCGGUAAGGCUGGAUGUGGAACGCCACCUAGAGACACAACACAGGUUGAGGAGAAACUUUGAAUUGGUAAACAUCAUGCAACAAAAAAUGUCUCCAAGCAGAUUGGGUUUCUGUAGCUGGACACAUGAGUGCUAGACACUGCUAGCUAUAGUAGGUCAAGGCAACUGUACAAUCGCACAACAGCAUGGCUGAAGGUGAACACAAAAAGUGCUGCGUGAAAGAAGAACAACGGAGAAACAAGCGUGGAUUUCGUUUAAUAUAAAUCUUUUAUUUUUAAUAUUUUGGAAUAAAAUCUUAAUAAUUUA